CAGAAGGGUUGAAAUCAAAUCUGAAUACAAACUGUGCACAGGUGUGGGGCGCUCAAGAAAACUGCUAGAAAAGCCACAAUACCACGAUACCAAGCCACAACACCAAGAGGUAUUUUUGCUUUGAAAGAGACAGACUGAUCCUGGUGAAAUCGGCUCAAGGAGGCAAACUGCCCAAAAACGAGGUGGAUACAAUCUGAACACUUUUGAUGGUCAUUUCAGCUAAAACCUAGGAAAUAGUUUGACUGUCCCACCACUUUACAAAGGAAACUGGAAAAGGGAUUGUCCUGUUCUCCGAAGGGAGGAGGGACCAGACUCUCAGCUGCCACCCUAAGCUUCCUGGUUGAUGACUGAUGCCUUCUGGACAAGUGACGCCUCCUGGAUGGAAAGUGACAGGGCAAAAGGACAUCGACAGCUCCCCAGCUGACCAUCUCCAUGGCUGAGCCUGGGGUAACCCUGGAUGUCAUAGG